CCUACGGGAGGCAGCAGUGAGGAAUAUUGGUCAAUGGGCGCGAGCCUGAACCAGCCAAGUAGCGUGAAGGAUUACUGCCCUACGGGUUGUAAACUUCUUUUAUAAAGGAAUAAAUUGAGGCACUUGUGCCUUUUUGUAUGUACUUUAUGAAUAAGGAUCGGCUAACUCCGUUCCAGCAGCCGCGGUAAGACGGAGGAUCCGAGCGUUGUCCGGAUUUAUGGGGUUUAAAGGGAGCGUAGAUGGUUUGUUAAGUCAGUUGUGAAAGUUUGCGGCUCAACCGUAAUAUUGCAAUUGAUACUGGCAGCCUUGAGUACAGUUGAGGUAGGCGGAAUUCGUGGUGUAGCAGUGAAAUGCUUAGAUAUCACGAAGAACUCCGAUUGCGAAGGCAGCUUACUAAACUGCCACUGACAUUGAUGCUCGAAAGUGUGGGUAUCAAACAGGAUUAGAUACCCCAGUAGUC
rnacentral:rRNA from 1 species